rnacentral:lncRNA from 1 species
UCAACACCAACUACACACCUAACACCACAAUUACCUCCAUCGCCGACCGACGAUUUUAUCGGUGAAUAUCUUCUCUCUUCUCUUACUUGUCUUUUUCAUCUCCUUCUAUUUCUCCACUAUUUCUUCGACAUGGAAGCUAAGGGAUGUUCGGCGUCAACUCCAACCACAGAUCUGGUGUCGCCAACCGCCGAUCUAGUAGCUGGUCAAGUGAUUAAAUUCCCGUGUAACCGUGUUCUUCUCCGACGAAGGGAGGAGGAUAAAAAGAAAGAUAUGAGAAAGAAAGAGAAAGGGCAACAGACAGGUAUGAAAGGGAGGUAUAGGUGAGGUGAAGAGAUUUUUCGGUAUGACCGGUACACCAGUUGGUACAUUACAUGCUACUAACAAAUAAUAUGAUAUAUGUGUUAAAAAAUUAACAACUUAAAAAAUAAAUUUUUCUACCACUCAUAUAAAAAUACAUAAUUUACCAGUUGUAUCUUGUAUUUUUGUCAGGAAAAAAAAUUUCCUGUGAGAGUGGGCGGAAGGUUCGAGAUCCUAGGGGGUAAUUUGGAUUUUUCAAUUAGUAUUAAGGAUGACGUCAUUUAAAAAGAUGAUAUUCUAGGUGUCAGAUUGCUUUAGACUGGGAACUAGUGCUCCUAAAAAAUUUCCUUCAAAUUUUAUAGACCAAAUGUUGUGGUUGUUAGAUUAUUACUUAAAUGUUGAUUAACGUACUAAUUUUUAUUAGUGAUAUUUCAUUUAUUUCAUUUGUUGCAAUAAAAAUAAUGUUAGGAGUCUAAAUUUCUAAAUCAAAUUUACCAACUAAAUGAUGUGUCAUCAAUAAGAAAUAAGUACAUUAAUCAAUACUUAAAUAAUAAAUCAAUCAUCAAUGUCUACGUCAUUUGAUUUACCAAAUUUAAUUUAGACAUUUAAUCUCCCUAACCUUAUCCUUACAUUAAACCUAAUAACUUUAAAAUACCUCUCUUGAUAAAACAAAUUACUAUAAAAAUGAACUACUUAAAGUAUUCAAUGAUGUGCACCCAUAUCUAUUUUAUUGAGAAUUAUUUAAAAAAUAAAUAAAGUAUUGAGGUAAGCGAAUGAUGUGCACUCAUAUCUAUUUUAUUGAGAAUUACUUUAAAAUUAACUAUUUAAAGUAUUGAGGCAAGCCAAUGAUGUGUACUCCUAUCUAUUUUAUUGAGAAUUACUUUGAAUGUGUUCCUAUCUAUUUUAUUGAGAAUUACUUUAAAAUGAACUAUUUAAAGUAUUGAGGUAAGCCAAUGAUGUGUACUCCUAUCUACUCCUAUCUAUUUUAUUGAGAAUUACUUUGAAAUGAACUAUUUAAAGUAUUGAGGUAAGCCCAUGAUGUGUACUCAUAUCUAUUUUAUUGAGCCAUCUGUGUUUCAACGGAGAACUCUUGUAAAUUUGUAAUAGGGAUUUGUCCCUUGGACAUGUCCAGCAGCCGAAUAGACAUAUCUUUUACUAGUGUUAUUUUGAGUUGAAACUAUAAGAUUGCGUUGGUGUGUUGUAAAUUGAAAGAAAAAUGUUUUAUUACAAAAUUAAUUGGUAAUAGGGGAUUAUGCAUGUUAGUAUGUCGUUAAUGUCGUUUGGAUAUCACAUCGAUAUUUGAUAUCAAUAUAUCAAUGUAAUGUUAUUAAAGUGACAUUGAUUUUCAAUAAUAAUAUCAUAUUCACGUCGUUUGAGUUUAUUCGUGUAUUAUAGUGGGUCAAUUUUCUAUAACCAUAUCUUAUUCACGUCGUCGUUUGGGUCCUAUUUGUAUAUUUUAUGGCAGGUCAAAUUCGAUUUGCUUGUACUUUUAUGUCGGAGGGUGUAUUCAAUUGAUUUGAAGAGAUUCCAUGUAAAAUUUUGGUUCAAUUCCUUCGAAAUUUUAGGAGAGAUGUGAGAUUUGUGAAUGUUGAAAAUACACUACAAAACUCUCCAAUUCCCUCAAAUUCCUCAACUUUUUAAAUUUCUUAAAAUAAAUUCAUAAUUGAAUACACCUGAAAUGUUAUAAAUUUCUUUAAAAUCUUAAUAAACUAUCUUAAAAUCUUGGUUGAAUACAAAUUGAAUUUCAGAUAAUCAUUUAAAAUUUUAAUUGAAUAUCCCUAGAUUCGUUAAAAGAAUUAAAAUCCCUCACCAUCCCAAUUGCAUACAACCCUUGGGGCUUGUGUUGGGAUUGUGGUGCUUAAAAAUAAAACAACUUAUUAAAAAAAUUGGAACAUCAAAUGUGUUUGGUAAAAAAAAAAAAGUUUUUUUUUUCAAAAAAACUAAUACCAAUGACAGUAGAAAAGCAUAGAAAAACAGAAGCAUGAUAUAUUAUUUUUCUAAAAAAAGUGUUUUUUUUAAAGCAUAGCAAUCAGUGCCAAUAUAAUGAAAUUUUCAAAUGGCAAGGAUAUCCCCACAUAUUUUACAAAAUUACAAUCAUUACCCAUACCUUAUUUUCUUUGACAAUUAUUAUAUCAAAUUAAAUACCAUAUUAGUUUUAAUCAUUUAACAUAUUCA